AAAAAAAAAAGGCACAACAAAACCACAAAACCAAACUUGUAAGUGAAGCUGCAAAUGCAGCCGAAUAGUCCGGAUCAGACAAUUCAUUGCACAAAAAAAAAAGAGGAUAAAUGGAACUGCAAUGGCCGGCUUUGCUGUAGAUCCGGGAGGAGGGAUCAGCGCCUUUAUCCCACCAUCUCGCGCUCCAAACACCACCAUUUUUCUCUCUCUAAUUUUUUUUUUUUUUUUUGUUUAAUGUGCUUUGUUGGGGCGUUUUGUUUCGAGCCGAGCGGGGCUGCACCACCCCUGAGCCCCGAGCCGGGGCUGCCAGAGCCGCUCAUGGGCUUCACUUUUACAGAGAUCUCUGUUUUUUUUUUUCCCCCGGCCUUGUGCAAUCCUCUCCCUUCUAUUACGUGUUUUUUCCCCUCUGCGGAUAUAAAGGUUUCUCUCCCCUCUCCAGCUUGGCUGCUUAUUCCAGAAGCUUCCACGGGGGCGGGGAGCCCCCACUGCAGCGCCUUUGCCGCAGCGCCGGGCAGGAGGAGGAGGAGGAGGAGGAGGAGGAGGAGGAUGCGGAGGAUGCACCACCUCUCCCUGGCUGGGAGCCUCAUUCCAAGCCUCUCCCCCUCGCUCCGUUCCCCCAGCCUUGAAAACACAGCGCUGGGAGGUGUUUGCAGCUUGAUUUUUUUUUUUAAUCUUUUUUUUUUUUCCUGAAUAAAUGGAAAGCAGAGCUAUUGCUGAUGGAGAUGGAUGAGGGCAGGACUGGCAGCGUGGCCAGGGCACCGAUGGCACAAGUGACCUUUCCCAGGCGGUGGGAGGGAGGAUUCCCCUCCCACCCCAGCAUGCUCCUGCUUGGAAUUCAUUUUAAAUAGCAGGAGCAUUAUUUUUUAUUUUCUUUUCCCCCUCCCUUUGCUCCCUCACUGAUUUUUGGUUGGGUUAUUUUUUUCUUUUUUUUUUUUUGAAGCUUCCUCACAAUCUUUUUUUCCUGUGUGUGUUUUGAAUUGCGUUUUAAAAUUGCCCAGCUGGAGACAAGGCUUGAUUAGAGCUGGAACAAUAGCUCCCUUUUAUUAAUAACGGGAAGGAUUUACAAUCCUACAGCACCUUCCUUGGAAAGCUUUCCAAACCAUUUGCAAACACUCACAAAUUUCAGAUUGCACAGCCCUUGGCUGUGAGGUGGGUAAGUAUUUUAAUGGUGCCACCACCCAAAAUCACCUCGGUGGCAAAUCUACAUUUUUAAGAGCUUUAAAAGAUGACGAAUUUGUUUGGGUUUUUUUUUUGGGGGGUGGGGAGGGGGGUGUAUGAGGGGGGCUAUUUAAAAGCUGUAACCUAAAUCUGUAGAUGCAGAUCAUUUGCUGCGUCCUGGGAACUGGGCAGUUCUCCCUCCCACCACGCAGCUUUCCAGAGCUGAGCUGUGGAUUUGCUGCACGUCAGUAAACAUCUGCUUAUGGAUUUUUUUUUUUUAUUCCCUUUUUUAAUCCAUUCCCUUUAUGCAGUCCCCAAGUGACCUCCUGCAGCGCUGCAGUUCGACCACAGCUUUGCACUGAAGCACUGAUGUGUCUCCCUGGGAGCCAGAGUGACCUUGCUGGGGGACUGGGCCCACCAGGCAAUGCAGAUGCUCCUCUUCAUCCCAGAUCCCUGUACCCCUUUUUCCCCAAGGCAUCCCUUCCCUCACCCAGGGGGAUGUUACAGUGUUACAGUGGGCAAAGCUGUUUCAUGCCUUAGUUUUUCUCUCUUUUUAAUUUUUUUUUUUAUUUCCUGGGGAAAUAGUGGGUUGUUUGUGUAACCCCUCUCCCCAGCAGAUCCCUACUAGCCACGCAGGGAUCUGCAAGUCCCUUGGGCAGUGGGAUCCCGCCUUUCCAUGAGUGUGAGGCUCCAUCCGUGUCCGUGUGUGUCAUACACGGGUCACAAAACCCCACAGUGUUCCUGUGGUUAGUUUUGUCUGGAGACCGUGAGUGGGUCCCAGGGCUUCCCCUUCCCACCACUUGCUGGUUCACAAAGGCUGAUGCUUCUGGAAAAAGCUCUGCCUUGUGGCCUUUUUUAAAAAAAAAAUAAAUAAAUAAAGUGGCACUGCUGGGGAUUAGUCAUCCUUAUUUUUGAAGGAAGCUGUUUGCCAGCGCUGUCUGUAUCACGCAUGUGCGUGUGAGAUGGGAACUCCAGAAGGCUGGUAACGUGCUCCGCUCGCUGCUCCUUGGAGCUGAGCCACCCAGGCUCCAUUGAGCUGCUCCUGGCAGGUGGAAAAACUGACAGUCCGGCUUUCCAGACCCUUUCCCUCCAUUUUUUCAGGGCUGGAAUCUCUGCAUUGGCAGGUGUGGAAACGUGGAGGCUGUAACUGCAGUGAGCGAGGACGGAUGAGCUGUUUUCUGGGGUCACGUCCAAGUCCAGAGAAGAAACCCUGGGCUGUGUUGGUUUGGAGAUACGCCUCGUGCUCGUCACAGGGAGCUUCAGAGAAGCAAGAAGUUGGCUGUUGGGAUGAUUCCACAUUUUUCAGCCUGGCACACCCUGUGGGACUUGGAAUUACUUUCCUUUGGCAGUUUAGGAUAAACGAGUGAGAAUUACCUUAUGAGUACUGAACUUUUACCACCCUGAAGACUUACUUGAGCUACAUCCAUGGCACUUCCAAGCUAAACAAAACCUGGAUUUCUGGUGCCAAAAAGUGAUACGAACCUCCUCCGUACAGGGGGAAAGCGUGGUCUUGCAAGCUUUCCUGUUAUCCCAGAGAGUUAAAAUGCUGCUCUGUGAGAUCUGCAGAGGUGACAUGAAAUCCAAAGGCAGCUGAGAAACUUCUCCUGUGCUGUGUUGCUGGAGAGGCUUCUGAGAGCAGCAGGUCUCGAUGCACAAAUAUUUCCCUUUAUGCUUUCUCUGGAGUGAAGGAGCGAUAACUGCAAGGACACGGGUUCACUCUGCUUGCUUUAAACACCCUCGUGUUGCUGCGGUAUCAAAAUGGUGUUUGAUGAAACAAAAGCUCUGAUGGUGGUGGCUCAGUGUUUAUUUUGUGCUGGGUGUGCUGAUCAGUCCAACGGGGAAUGUGGGAAGAGCAGCCUAAGGCUCGAAGGUUUGGACUGGGGGGGUUGUGUUAAAGCCUUGUCCUGCAACAUUUCCAGCCUGAUUUCUGUGAUUUCCUCCCCCCCCGGCAUUGCACACAGAAAAAAAAAUUAUAUUUUGAUGUAGAUUUAAUACAACAAUUAGGUGUUAUAAAUGGCAAAGUACAGGACUUAGUGAUCUAACCAGUCCUAGGGGAUUUAUAUCCUUUGCAGUUUUCCUGUUUGGGUAUCAAAUCACAUGGCUUUUUUUUUUUACAUUUAUUUUCUUUGUUUUUGCCCUGAAAUUUUGCUGCCUGGAA